rnacentral:misc_RNA from 1 species
GAAAAACAGAACAUAGAUUUAGUUGAUUAUAAGAUGAUAGAACAAGCAGACUGGAUUGUAGAUAUGUAUAGAAAAUAGGAGUUCUUCCCUAUUCCACACGAAGCAAAAUAGUCGAACUGGUUUAAAAUUGAUCCUUUUUGGUGAGGAACUUGUCUCUCAAGUCUGCAACAUCAAUCUGGUCAAAAUGAGUCUCAGGAAUCCAGUUUCCAGUCUUGGGAUCUCUCAUCCAAAAGUUCUCCUUCUGCUUCACCUUCUUCUUCUCUGGCAAAUCUUUUGCCUGCCUUAUAACUGACAAUUCUGUUUGCCUGCUCAGGUUUUCUGUUGCAACUGCAUAUGAUCGUCUUAGGAGCAGAAAGUUAAAGAGUUGAAGCUUAUCCAUGUUGAACGGAUUAAAAAAAGGAAAAGAUUAAUAAUAUGAUGUGGAGGGGGUUACGAAAGAGGUUUUUAGGGUUUUCUGCGUAAGAGCAUUGAGU